rnacentral:tRNA from 1 species
GCCGGGGUGGCGGAACAGGCAUACGCAAGAGACUUAAAAUCUCUCGGGCGCAAGCCCAUACCGGUUCGAUCCCGGUCCCCGGCACCA